CAUCAAUGUGUUGACUCCAGGAAAGGCGGCAGUCUAUCUUUAAACCGAGGAACGUCACCUCCCGUUUAUAGAUACAACAGAAGUUGAAUCAUCCGCAAAUAAUACCAGUAAACUAUCAAGUACAUCAGGCAAAUCAUUAAUGUACAGAAGGAACAAGAAAGGUCUCAAGACUGACCCCUGAGGCUUGCUGGAAAAACGCCCAUAGAAAAGGACAAAUUGAUAACAUUACUCAAUGGUUCAGAGAGAGCAUCAGAAGAGAACUUCAAUAAGGCCACCGGAAUCUCAUCAAAGCCUACCGCUUUUGUAUCAUUUAAAGAUUGUAUUGUUUUUUGAACUUCUAUUGCAUCACUUAAAUAAAAUGCGAAAG